rnacentral:rRNA from 1 species
GCAAGUCGAGCGAAUCUGAGGGAGCUUGCUCCCGAUGAUUAGCGGCGGACGGGUGAGUAACACGUGGGUAACCUGCCUGUAAGAUUGGGAUAACUCCGGGAAACCGGAGCUAAUACCGGAUAACAUUUCGAACCGCAUGGUUCGAAGUUGAAAGGUGGCUUUUGCUACCACUUACAGAUGGACCCGCGGCGCAUUAGCUGGUUGGUGAGGUAACGGCUCACCAAGGCAACGAUGCGUAGCCGACCUGAGAGGGUGAUCGGCCACACUGGGACUGAGACACGGCCCAGACUCCUACGGGAGGCAGCAGUAGGGAAUCUUCCGCAAUGGACGAAAGUCUGACGGAGCAACGCCGCGUGAGCGAAGAAGGCCUUCGGGUCGUAAAGCUCUGUUGUUAGGGAAGAACAAGUACCGUUCAAAUAGGGCGGUACCUUGACGGUACCUAACCAGAAAGCCACGGCUAACUACGUGCCAGCAGCCGCGGUAAUACGUAGGUGGCAAGCGUUGUCCGGAAUUAUUGGGCGUAAAGCGCGCGCAGGCGGUUUCUUAAGUCUGAUGUGAAAGCCCACGGCUCAACCGUGGAGGGUCAUUGGAAACUGGGGAACUUGAGUGCAGAAGAGGAGAGUGGAAUUCCACGUGUAGCGGUGAAAUGCGUAGAGAUGUGGAGGAACACCAGUGGCGAAGGCGACUCUCUGGUCUGUAACUGACGCUGAGGCGCGAAAGCG